rnacentral:rRNA from 1 species
GCAAAUGCUAAUGGAAAUAAAAAAGACGAGAAGACCCUAGAAACUUAAACUACUUUUGCUGGGGCGGCAGAAUUGCAUAUAACCAAUUACUUUACAUGAGCAGCGGUGCUGGAAGAAAAAGUUACUCUAGGGAUAACAGCAUAAUUUAAAUAGUUUGUGACCUCGAUGUUGGACUAGGGAAAUUACGCCUUAGAAGGGCGUGAUAAUAGCUCUGUUCGAGCUUUUAGCCCCUACGUGAUCUGAGU